rnacentral:RNase_P_RNA from 1 species
AGAGUUGACCGAGGCAAUCGCUGUUUGCUAACGCAGAUGGAGGAAAGUCCGGGCUCCAGAGGGCAGAGUGCCAGGUAACGCCUGGGAAGCGCGAGCUUACGGCUAGUGCCACAGAGAAUAUACCGCCUAGUAUUUUAUACUCGGUAAGGGUGAAAAGGUGCGGUAAGAGCGCACCGCGCAAUUGGCAACAGUUGUGGCAAGGUAAACCCCACUCGGAGCAAGACCAAAUAGGAGCUUACGUGAGUAUCUUUGAUGCUCAUAAAGUGUGGCCCACACUAAGCUCGGGUAGGUUGCUUGAGGUGUUUGGCGACAAACAUCCCAGAUAAAUGGUUGUCCACGACAGAACCCGGCUUAUCGGUUGACUCUAUCU